GAAAGCGAGGGCUCGCAUAAGGAAUGGGAUUGGACUGCCAUCUGCCUGGAAAGGGAUGCAGUUGCAACGCCAGUCGGACUGCCGGACAUCAUUGAAGAUCUCAGCUUUUCGCUUUUGUCGCCUAUCAGUGUGUCAAGUUCUUCUACAAAACAAGAAAAGAGCCCGUGAUUAACUUACUCCUAACAAAGCCUCAGUCUUCACAGCUUGCAGCUGGAAUUCUAGUGUUCUUUAGGAAAUGGGAGAGUGGAAUGGCAAAUGAGUGCUAACCCAUUUAUGAUCACUCUUAAGGUCUGAAAUGCUUUUCUAAAUUAGCAUUGCCAACAACUGGGUCUUUCCUCUUCCAUUUCUGAAGCUCCUCCUGCAUCUUAUCGAUUUUGGCUGGAUUCAGAGCCCACAAACAGCCUUUCCGAGAAGAAUUGCCUGAUUUGUUUUCAACUUUCUCAAAGCAUUUGUUCAAAGAUAAGUUGUGACGUACAGAAUUCUUCCAGCCGUCCGGAGCUGUCUGGAAAAACAAAUCCAGUCUAAGAAUGGAACUUCAAGGAAAAAAUACAAAUAUAUUUCUCUAUUUUGACUGGUUAGAGUAUACUUUCUACAAAAUGAAACUGGUACCAUAGAAGGAAGCCACAAAAAUGUUACAGUCGUGUUGUGUGGGAAGAGGAAUCAGAUAACAUAGUAACUGAUCUUCUAAGCAAAAGGUUGGCCUUGUCAGAGGGGCUACUGUAUGUUUGAAUUUGCAAAUUACAAGAAUUAAAUGUGUUAAAGAAUUAUAUUCCAGAACUGUGAACUAACAGGAAAUCUUUUAAUCCCUUUUAGCACACCUAGAAAUAUUUCAAACACUUAGUUGAAGGGCUACGUGCCACUUGGAUUCAAAUGAGUUGUCCAGGCAGACUUCAAAAGCAUUUUGGCAUGCUGCUGGAGGUGUAGCCAAUUACAUAACCACAUGGUUUAAGCAAAAGCCCAGUGGAUGAGAUACAGAAAAUCCUCAGCUGUGUGUCAUAAGAGCUAAAAAAAAAAAUCAAACAGCUCUCUGAAAGUGUAUGCAAGUGAUGAAGUUGCCCAAGACUGAUAUUCCAGCCCCAGAACAGAGCCAGAUAACCUUGAGCCUCUGCUUCCACAUGAGUCUGGAGGUGCUACUGGUGGCAAAGGAAGCCACAAGACCAGUUCUGCCUGUAUGUGAGAUCAGAGAGGAGGGAAUGGAUAUGUUUUUAAAAGUAUUUAUCCUUUUGUUUAAACCUGCAAGUGAGCAACUUUCAAGAACAAAGAAUCACUGCUGCUGAGGUCAACAAGAAGUAAUUUUUCUCAUGAAUCAUCAUCUGCGUUGUGUCCAGCAAAGGCGAAGGUUGGUCUUGCAAUACUUUAGGAGAAGAGGUAAAGGAAUACGUGCCUUCAUGGAAGAACCACAUUCCAAGAAGUCCCAAAGGGAAGUUAGCCUAAAAGCUAGUGCUUUCUGAGUGAAGCAUGGUACAAGCUUCUUCAUUCUCUUGCACGUGGGUCUAUAUUAAAGCUGUUAAUGUUCCAUUCUGUCAUGGGGUCCUGCAGAAAGCAAAUCUGACCUCAUGGCACUUUUGCCUUCUCAUAUGAACGCGAACUUGCUGAGUUUGUAACUUCUUCUUUCUUGCUUCUUUGCUCUUCUCUAUAGUCCUAUGUACAUUUGUUUAUGAUAUCUCUUGUUAAAUAAGGA